rnacentral:rRNA from 1 species
GACGAACGCUGGCGGCGUGCUUAACACAUGCAAGUCGAACGGAGAUUAUUAAUGAAGCUUGCGAUUUAAUAAUCUUAGUGGCGGACGGGUGAGUAACGCGUGGGCAACCUACCCAUAAGCGGGGGAUAACAGUUGGAAACGACUGCUAAUACCGCAUAAGCUAUUAAGGUCGCAUGACCUUAAUAGUAAAGGUGGCGAAAGCUAUCACUUAUGGAUGGGCCCGCGUCUGAUUAGCUAGUUGGUGGGGUAGCGGCCUACCAAGGCAACGAUCAGUAGCCGGCCUGAGAGGGUGGACGGCCACACUGGGACUGAGACACGGCCCAGACUCCUACGGGAGGCAGCAGUGGGGAAUAUUGCGCAAUGGGGGAAACCCUGACGCAGCGACGCCGCGUGAGCGAAGAAGGCCUUAGGGUCGUAAAGCUCUGUUGUAAGGGACGAAUGUUUAUCUGGCGAAUAGUCAGAUAAAGUGACGGUACCUUACCAGCAAGCCCCGGCUAACUACGUG